rnacentral:rRNA from 1 species
UAAAUUGUUCAUUAAUUGUGGACUGGAAUGAAUGGAAAAAUGGUUUAAAUCUGUCUUUAAAACUAUAAAUUGAAUUUAGAUUCUUUGUAAAAAUACAAAAAUGCAAUUUAGGGACAAGAAGACCCUAUAAAGCUUUAUUUAUUUACAUUAUAUUUAUAUAAAUGUGAUAAUUUUAUUGGGGCAAUGAUUUAUAAAUAAAAAAUAUAAAUUUAAUAAAAAUAAUAAUCUAUGAAUAGUUUGGUAUUGAUCCAUUAUUAAUGAAAAAUGAUUAAGUUACUUUAGGGAUAACAGGAUAAUUUUUAUUAGAAAGUUCUUAUUGAUAAUAAAGUUUAUUACCUCGAUGUUGAAUUAAUUUAAUUUAAUGGUGAAGUAACUUUUUAAGUUUGACUGUUCGUCAAUUAAAUAAUUACAUGAUCUGAGUUC